GUGCCAGCCGCCGCGGUAAUACGGAGGGUGCAAGCGUUAAUCGGAAUUACUGGGCGUAAAGCGCGCGUAGGCGGCUUGGUCAGUUGGAUGUGAAAGCCCAGGGCUUAACCUUGGAAUUGCAUUCAAUACUGCCAGGCUAGAGUACGGAAGAGGGGGGUAGAAUUCCACGUGUAGCGGUGAAAUGCGUAGAGAUGUGGAGGAAUACCAGUGGCGAAGGCGGCCCCCUGGUCUGAUACUGACGCUGAGGUGCGAAAGCGUGGGGAGCAAACAGGAUUAGAUACCCGUGUAGUCC
rnacentral:rRNA from 1 species